rnacentral:tRNA from 1 species
GGCAGGGCAACCUGAUCUGGUGACAGGCCCGGUCUUCAAAACCGGUGAGACGCGCGGGCGACCGGGCGUCUGGCGAGUUCGAUUCCCGUGCCCUGCCGA